UCGGGAAUUUUGGGCAAUGGGCGAAAGCCUGACCCAGCAACGCCGCGUGAAGGAUGAAGUAUUUCGGUAUGUAAACUUCGUAAGAAUAGGAAGAAUAAAUGACGGUACUAUUUGUAAGGUCCGGCUAACUACGUGCCAGCAGCCGCGGUAAUACGUAGGGACCAAGCGUUGUUCGGAUUUACUGGGCGUAAAGGGCGCGUAGGCGGUGACUCAAGUCAGAGGUGAAAGCCUGGAGCUCAACUCCAGAACUGCCUUUGAAACUAGGUCGCUAGAAUCACGGAGAGGUGAGUGGAAUUCCGAGUGUAGAGGUGAAAUUCGUAGAUAUUCGGAAGAACACCAGUGGCGAAGGCGGCUCACUGGACGUGUAUUGACGCUGAGGUACGAAAGCGUGGGGAGCAAACAGGAUUAGAUACCCCUGUAGUCCCUGAGCGGGCUGGCAAGGCGCAU
rnacentral:rRNA from 1 species